CGUAACCGGGCUGAAGUCGUACCGUAAGGAGCGGUGGACUGGUUACGAGUGAGAAUGUUGGCAUCAGUAGCGAGAUGUGGGUGAGAAUCCCACAGGCCGAAAACCUAAGGUUUCCUCAGGAAGGUUCGUCCGCUGAGGGUUAGUCGGGACCUAAGCCGAGGCCGAAAGGCGUAGGUGAUGGACAACUGGUUGAUAUUCCAGUACCACUACCAUCGUUAUUAUCGAUGGCGUGACGCAGGAGGAUAGUGUGUGCUAGCUAUUGGAUGCUAGUCUAAGCGUUUAGGCAGUGAGAGUAGGCAAAUCCGCUCUCAUAAUGCUGAGGCGUGAUGGGGAAGGUUC
rnacentral:rRNA from 1 species